rnacentral:lncRNA from 1 species
AUGCAGUCAAACAAAAGCCACUCUACGUCAGGAAGGGAGGCCAGUGUGUUUCCCCCCUUUCUUUCACUAGAGGUACUCCAGUGCCAAAGUAAGCAUCAGCGGGCUGGGACACGUUCUCCACUCUCCACUCGGUUGGAGUCAGAGGGGAUCACCAUGAAGACGACCAGGGUCCUCCUUGUGCUUCUGCUGGCGUCUGCCCACGUCUCCACAGCAGUUUCAUCGGACCAACCAGACAACACGGGGAACAAGACGCAGGAACAAGGGACAGCACAGACGACAGCGGAAACGACAACAGUUUCAAGGGCGGGGUCAAAUAUGACAGGUGGCCAAAAGCAAGAAGUGACAUCAGAGCCAGCAGCAAAAACGACGACAGGACAACCUUGGUCUCCUGCGCGGACCACUGUGAAGCCAACUUCGCCUCCAGCAUCAACGCCGGACCACAAGGACGUGACCACUGCGUCUCCCGCUGUUCCCCAGACAGACGAGAAAGCCUUGAGAAAUGACACCUGGAAACCAAGAUCUCCUCACACUCCGAGCCCGAGCAAUCACUCUGAGACGCCACUUGAGCCAGCUUUAGAAGGUGAAACUUCUCACACUCCAGACUCAAGUAGCCACUCAGAGACCGAAAUAACUCAGACGCCACUUGAACGAGUAGACGACAACAGAACUAAAGAGACAAAACCAGACAAAGGCACAAGUACUCAAGCCCCAGUGAUCCCUCAACUCAAGAAAGAAAAGGCUAAGGAGAAAGGUAUCGGUUCUCAGACCGGAGGUGAGGAGAAUGAACCCCACAAAUCAGACAAAAGGCUGUGGUGGAUUCUGCUGCCCGUCCUGCUGGUGGGAGCCGCUGCUGCCAUCGUCCUCAAGUUCAAGAGCAAGAAGCUCAACGACCACACAGAGACCAUUGAUACAGGAACUGAGAAUGCAUCUUUCCAGAGCAGGCCCGAAAGCACCAAAGACGGUGUCAUGCUCCUCGGGGUGAAGUCGUCGGGCGGAGAAGAAAGCGCUUCUGCAAGAUAAAUUGAAAAGAAGAAAAGGAGGCCAUGCAGUAACAUCAAGAUCAGCCACAUACUGUUCUUGUGAAGGAACUGUUUAGAUGUUGAAUUUGUAAUUUUUAUUAUAUGAAACCUCCUGUUGUGUGAAGAGAAUAGUAUUGAACAGCGGUUUCCCUGUAGUGGUUCUGUGAGCUGAAAGCGGUUUUAUGAAGUAGUGCGCGGGACUGUAAAUCUCAGUGAAUCUCAGAGUAAGGGAAUAUAAAACUGCAAAUGUCUUUGAAAUGCUGUCAAAGCUCAUUUCCUGUACAGCGCACUGACCUCAGAUCCAUCACAUAUUAGAUGUGAUGACUGUUCAUUUCAUAGCUGUAGAUGUAUCCUUGUGUCGUUAAGAUAUGUUUUGUUUAUGUGGGCACGUGCAUGUGAGUGUGUGUGUGUGGUGUGUGUGU